rnacentral:rRNA from 1 species
GUGCCAGCAGCCGCGGUAACACGUAGGGUGCGAGCGUUGUCCGGAAUUAUUGGGCGUAAAGAGCUCGUAGGCGGUGUGUCGCGUCGGCCGUGAAAACCUGCAGCUUAACUGUGGGCGUGCGGUCGAUACGGGCAUCACUGGAGUUCGGCAGGGGAGACUGGAAUUCCUGGUGUAGCGGUGAAAUGCGCAGAUAUCAGGAGGAACACCGGUGGCGAAGGCGGGUCUCUGGGCCGAUACUGACGCUGAGGAGCGAAAGCGUGGGGAGCGAACAGGAUUAGAUACCCUGGUAGUCC